GGUUGCGAUCAUACCAGCACUAAUGCACCGGAUCCCAUCAGAACUCCGCAGUUAAGCGUGCUUGGGCGAGAGUAGUACUAGGGUGGGUGACCCCUUGGGGAGUCCUCGUGUUGCAACCC
rnacentral:rRNA from 1 species